ensembl:lncRNA
CGAAAGACCAUCGUACAAACAAAGACUCUGAAAUAAGCCUGUUUGAUUCUUCUCUUUUGGAUAAUCUCGAUCAAAUCGACAUAUCGGAUUUGGACAACUAUGUUUUUUCGAGUUCACCUAGUUCUUCGCCCAGUUCUUCACCACCACCGGUUUUAGAGCGAGCUACAGGCAAGAACAUCCGUCUCUCGACCCGCGAGAGACAGGCCUUGCUUUCUGCAAGGGCUUGCCCAGCUUCAGCCCCCCAGCGUCCCUCGGGGAAAAACCUGAAUCUAACCGCCCGGGAGAGGGAACAACUGUUCGCGGCACACGCUCCCAGUCCCCCUGUCGGAGCUUCAGCCCUCCAGCGUCCCUCGGGGAAAAACCUGAAUCUAACCGCCCGGGAGAGGGAACAACUGUUUGCGGAACACGCGCCCAGUGCCGGUGUCGGUCUCGGAGCUUCUCUUCCUUCACCGGGGCCAAGACAUCCACAGCCCUUGCCUCGGAGAUCCAAUCGAGGGCAUCUCAGAAACAGGAGUAGGAGGACCGUUAGGAGGACCCGCAGGCCUGCCAGCAAAAGGAGGACA